CUUAUGCUUCAGAGCUAUUAGCUGCCUUCUUCCCCAGUUACGUUAGGUGAGUAGAUGCUGUACAUUUUUACUGAAACAGAGUGCUGAGAACAGUGAGGUGUCAACGACAUGACUAGGGGAGACAUAGGUAGGAAGAACUUAGGCACUGUUUCCAAAACAAAAAUCUGUCAUAUUUUGUCAUUUUACUAAGACAUAAUUUGCUUGUGUAUGGAGUGCUGGAGGUGAGAGAUGAAUCACCUGGGUGUUGAGUGAGUUUCAACAGCUUUAAAAUCCUCAGUUAAAAGGUCCUUAUACGACAUAGUGCUGCUUCCAAGUAGACGAUUGUGAGGGAAGGAUAGGGUUCUUCAGAGGAAUCCUUUAGAAUGUGGAAGUCUACAACCAGCAGUGCAGGUCACCAGAAACCUUCGAGACCAACAGAGCCAUCUUCCAUGAUUGGUUACCUCAGGUUCUUCCUAGAUGCCGUUUUUCCAAGAAUUGAUACACACCCAUUGAAGAUAAUUUUUUUUUGCUUUGUUUUGCCUUGAAAAAUUUAAUCCAUGUUCGGUUGAGUCUGCAGAUGGAGGGCCCUUGCUUGGAUGCAGAAGUCUCGUUGUAUAUUGUUUUUUGUAGUUAAUAGAAACAGUUUUCUUAAAAUUUUUGUAACUAUAUCCUUUAAAAUAACUUUUGGUAGUUUCUUAGAAGAUCUUAACAGUGGCGGUUUACAGAAACCUCACAAUAGCAGUUAGAGAGGGAGGCCAUGCUUUCCCCACACACCUUGGAAAGAAAACAAGCCAAAGACCAGCAUGGCAACCUAGUCGUUAUUAUGUAACGAUAACGCAAGAAAGUAGGGACACAGUCCAGAGACCUCUGUUGACUGUUCUUUGCCUUACUUUUCAUUUUAGAGUUACAGAAACCAAAAUAAUUAAAGACCUAACAAAGGAAGAGAAAUAAUUUAAAAAUGACAUUUAGCAACAAAAAGAUUUUUUUAAAUAUGCAGGAAAAUGGACCAUUACAAGUAGGGAAAAUAGCUCUCUUCAUCUCAGAUGACAGUUGGUAAUGUUCAAGUCAUGAAUUUGCUCCUUAAAGGCCAUGCUGCUUAAUAAUAUAAAAAAGAAGGUAAAAGCUUGGAAAUAAAGUAUUUAUUAUUUUA